rnacentral:rRNA from 1 species
GACGAACGCUGGCGGCGUGCUUAACACAUGCAAGUCGAACGGAAAGGCCCUGCUUGCAGGGUACUCGAGUGGCGAACGGGUGAGUAACACGUGGGUGAUCUGCCCUGCACUUCGGGAUAAGCCUGGGAAACUGGGUCUAAUACCGGAUAUGACCUUCCAUGUAGUGUGGGGGGUGGAAAGAUUUAUCGGUGUGGGAUGAGCCCGCGGCCUAUCAGCUUGUUGGUGGGGUAAUGGCCUACCAAGGCGUCGACGGGUAGCCGGCCUGAGAGGGUGGACGGCCACAUUGGGACUGAGAUACGGCCCAGACUCCUACGGGAGGCAGCAGUGGGGAAUAUUGCACAAUGGGCGGAAGCCUUAUGCAGCGACGCCGCGUGGGGGAUGACGGCCUUCGGGUUGUAAACCUCUUUCGACAGGGACGAAGCUUCGGUGACGGUACCUGUAGAAGAAGCACCGGCUAACUACGUG